UCGAGCGGAUGAGUAGGAGCUUGCUCUCCUGAUUCAGCGGCGGACGGGUGAGUAAUGCCUAGGAAUCUGCCUGGUAGUGGGGGACAACGUUUCGAAAGGAACGCUAAUACCGCAUACGUCCUACGGGAGAAAGUGGGGGAUCUUCGGACCUCGCGCUAUCAGAUGAGCCUAGGUCGGAUUAGCUAGUUGGCGAGGUAAAGGCUCACCAAGGCGACGAUCCGUAACUGGUCUGAGAGGAUGAUCAGUCACACUGGAACUGAGACACGGUCCAGACUCCUACGGGAGGCAGCAGUGGGGAAUAUUGGACAAUGGGCGAAAGCCUGAUCCAGCCAUGCCGCGUGUGUGAAGAAGGUCUUCGGAUUGUAAAGCACUUUAAGUUGGGAGGAAGGGCAUUAAGUUAAUACCUUACUGUUUUGACGUUACCGACAGAAUAAGCACCGGCUAACUUCGUGCCA
rnacentral:rRNA from 1 species